UCGGGAAUAUUGCGCAAUGGAGGAAACUCUGACGCAGUGACGCCGCGUGCAGGAAGAAGGUUUUCGGAUUGUAAACUGCUUUAGACAGGGAAGAAAAAAGACAGUACCUGUAGAAUAAGCUCCGGCUAACUACGUGCCAGCAGCCGCGGUAAUACGUAGGGAGCGAGCGUUAUCCGGAUUUAUUGGGUGUAAAGGGUGCGUAGACGGGAAAUUAAGUUAGUUGUGAAAUCCCUCGGCUCAACCGAGGAACUGCAACUAAAACUGAUAUUCUUGAGUACUGGAGAGGAAAGUGGAAUUCCUAGU
rnacentral:rRNA from 1 species